rnacentral:rRNA from 1 species
CUUGCUCCUUUGACGUUAGCGGGGGACGGGUGAGUAACACGUGGAUAACCUACCUAUAUGACUGGGAUAACUUCCGGAAACCGGAGCUAAUACCGGAUAACAUAUUGAACCGCAUGGAUCAAUAGUGAAAGGCGGCUUUGCUGUCACUUAUACAUGGAUCCGCGCCGUAUUAGCUAAUUGGUAAGGUAACGGCUUACCAAAGCAACGAUACGUAUCCGACCUGAAAGGGUGAUCGGCCACACUGGAACUGAGACACAGUCCAAACUCCUACGGGAGGCAGCAAUAUGGAAUCUUCCGCAAUGGGCGAAAGCCUGACGGAGCAACGCCGCGUGAGUGAUGAAGGUCUUCGGAUCGUAAAACUCUGUUAUCAGGGAAGAACGAAUGUGUAAGUAACUGUGCACAUCUUGACGGUACCUGAUCAGAAAGCCACGGCUAACUACGUGCCACCAGCCGCGGUAAUACGUAGGUGGCAAGCGUUAUCCGGAAUUAUUGGGCGUAAAGCGCGCGUAUGCGGUUUUUUAAGUCUGAUGUGAAAGCCCACGGCUCAACCGUGGAGGGUCAUUGGAAACUGGAAAACUUGAGUGCAGAAGAGGAAAGUGUAUUUCCUGGG